rnacentral:rRNA from 1 species
GACGAACGCUGGCGGCGUGCCUAAUACAUGCAAGUCGAGCGAAUGGAUUAAGAGCUUGCUCUUAUGAAGUUAGCGGCGGACGGGUGAGUAACACGUGGGUAACCUGCCCAUAAGACUGGGAUAACUCCGGGAAACCGGGGCUAAUACCGGAUAACAUUUUGAACCGCAUGGUUCGAAAUUGAAAGGCGGCUUCGGCUGUCACUUAUGGAUGGACCCGCGUCGCAUUAGCUAGUUGGUGAGGUAACGGCUCACCAAGGCAACGAUGCGUAGCCGACCGGAGAGGGUGAUCGGCCACACUGGGACUGAGACACGGCCCAGACUCCUACGGGAGGCAGCAGUAGGGAAUCUUCCGCAAGGGACGAAAGUCUGACGGAGCAACGCCGCGUGAGUGAUGAAGGCUUUCGGGUCGUAAAACUCUGUUGUUAGGGAAGAACAAGUGCUAGUUGAAUAAGCUGGCACCUUGACGGUACCUAACCAGAAAGCCACGGCUAACUACGUGCCAGCAGCCGCCGUAA